UACGUAGGGACCAAGCGUUGUCCGGAAUCAUUGGGCGUAAAGAGCGUGUAGGCGGCCUGUUAAGUCUUGCGUGAAAUCUCGGGGCUCAACCCCGAGCGGUCGUGAGAAACUGGCAGGCUAGAGUGCGGGAGAGGAGAGUGGAAUUCCUGGUGUAGCGGUGAAAUGCGCAGAUAUCAGGAAGAACACCCGUGGCGAAGGCGGCUCUCUGGAACGCAACUGACGCUGAGACGCGAAAAGCGUGGGGAGCAAACAGG
rnacentral:rRNA from 1 species